rnacentral:rRNA from 1 species
GACGAACGCUGGCGGCGUGCUUAACACAUGCAAGUCGAACGGAAAGGCCCUGCUUUUGUGGGGUGCUCGAGUGGCGAACGGGUGAGUAACACGUGAGUAACCUGCCCUUGACUUUGGGAUAACUUCAGGAAACUGGGGCUAAUACCGGAGAUGAGCUCCUGCUGCAUGGUGGGGGUUGGAAAGUUUCGGCGGUUGGGGAUGGACUCGCGGCUUAUCAGCUUGUUGGUUGGGUAGUGGCUUACCAAGGCUUUGACGGGUAGCCGGCCUGAGAGGGUGACCGGCCACAUUGGGACUGAGAUACGGCCCAGACUCCUACGGGAGGCAGCAGUGGAGAAUAUUGCACAAUGGGCGGAAGCCUGAUGCAGCAACGCCGCGUGCGGGAUGACGGCCUUCGGGUUGUAAACCGCUUUCGCCUGUGACGAAGCGUGAGUGACGGUAAUGGGUAAAGAAGCACCGGCUAACUACGUG